rnacentral:rRNA from 1 species
GAUGAACGCUGGCGGCGUGCCUAACACAUGCAAGUCGUGCGGCAGCGAGUUCCUCACUGUGGUUCGGAACCAAGUUUGUAAAGUUCAUAAAGUAGAAAGUUCAUAAAGUUCUGGAGCGGUUUCACCGUAAACCAUCAACUUUAUAACUUUUAAAACUUUAUAACUUUUAACUUGACCAUUCCGAGCUAGAGUGAGGAAUGUCGGCGAGCGGCGGACGGGUGAGUAACGCGUAGGAAUCUACCCCAGACNGAGGGAUAACCAGCCGAAAGGUUGGCUAAUACCGCAUAACCUCUUAGGAGAAAGCUCCGGCGGUUUGGGAAGAGCCUGCGUCCGAUUAGCUUGUUGGCGGGGUAAAAGCCCACCAAGGCGACGAUCGGUAGCUGGUCUGAGAGGAUGAUCAGCCACACU